AGAAUCAACGCUGGCGGCGUGCCUAACACAUGCAAGUCGAACGCGAAAGUGGAGCAAUCCAUGAGUAGAGUGGCAAACGGGUGAGUAACGCGUGGGCGACCUACCUCAGAGUGGGGGAUAGCCUUCCGAAAGGAGGGCUAAUACCGCAUGACAUACCGUGUUUGGAUACACGGAUAUCAAAGCCGGGGAUCGCAAGACCUGGCGCUUGGAGAGGGGCCCGCGUCCGAUUAGCUAGUUGGUGAGGUAAUGGCUCACCAAGGCUCCGAUCGGUA
rnacentral:rRNA from 1 species